rnacentral:rRNA from 1 species
UACGGAGGGGGCUAGCGUUGUUCGGAAUUACUGGGCGUAAAGCGUGCGCAGGCGGCUUUGCAAGACAGAUGUGAAAUCCCCGGGCUCAACCUGGGAACUGCAUUUGUGACUGCAUGGCUGGAGUGCGGCAGAGGGGGAUGGAAUUCCGCGUGUAGCAGUGAAAUGCGUAGAUAUGCGGAGGAACACCGAUGGCGAAGGCAAUCCCCUGGGCCUGCACUGACGCUCAUGCACGAAAGCUGGGGGAGCAAACCGG